AUUGAACGCUGGCGGCAUGCCUAACACAUGCAAGUCGAACGGAAGAACGGAGCUUGCCCCUGGAUGCCGCGUCGGACGGGGGAGUAAAGCAUAUGAAUCUGCCUGCUGUUGGGGGGUAACGUCCGGAGACAGGCGGUAUUACCGCAUACGCGCUGAACGGGUAAGAGGGGGAUCUUCGGACCUCUCGCUCUCAGAUGAGCCUAGGUCGGAUUAGGUAGUUUGUGGGGUAAAGGCCUACCAAGGCGACGAGACGUAACUGGUCUGAGAGGAGGAGCAGGCACACUGGAACUGAGACACGGCCCAGACUCCUGCGGGAGGCAGCAGUGGGGAAUUUUGGACAAUGGGCGAAAGCCUGAUCCAGCCAUGCCGCGUGUGUGAAGAAGGCCUUCGGGUUGUAAAGCACUUUUGGUUGGGAGGAAAGGCUGUGACCUAAUACGGUGCGGGUUUGACGGUACCGGCAGAAUAAGCACCGGCUAACUUCGUG
rnacentral:rRNA from 1 species